GGGGCUGAUCUAGGAUUCGACAGGAUCAUGAGGGCUCGUGGAGCAUGCCGAGGGACGGUUUGCCUCGUAAAAAGCCGUAAAAAUAUAGUUGCAAAUGACAACUGUUUUGACUCCGAAAUGCGCCUCGCGGCGUAAACUGUAGAUUAAACCCCUACCGGAAUCUCUCUUGCCCUAGCUUUCGCCUGUAAGACGGGGACCAACAAGGGAUCAAACCCAAACAAGCUCGCGUGGAAACUUUGACUCGAUAGUUGAAACGUUAAAUAUAAUUCGGGUAUGGCUUUGUGUGGCGUGUCUGUUCGCAGCACACUGACGAGAAUAAAGACAGACUAAGCAUGUAGUGCCAUUAGUUUGACUGUUUUUGGACGCGGGUUCGACUCCCGCCAGCUCCACCA
rnacentral:tmRNA from 1 species